ensembl:lincRNA
AUGGUGAAAACCUCGUCUCUCGCGAACAAGCAACCAGCCCUAUAUAGUCUACUGUCGUGUGGGGUUUCGAAUGGCGUUCAACAGAGACACUGCCGGAUGAAACUGCUGUGUGUUUUGAAACACUGGGUCCCCCCCAGGCACACACACCACCACCACCACAACCACAACAACAACAACACUGCCGGCGAAACGGCACAGCACAAAACAAAGACUGCGGUCGUGUCUGCAAUGCAAACGCCGCAUUCGGGCCGCAGGGGAGCGGGCAAGCGCGACCGGGCUGCGCCGGGGAUGCGUGGGGCCGCCAACCCUCUCCACCCCACCCCCCAGGAACCUCCGACCCGAACCGGACCCCCAGCAGCCCAGGCCGCCCGGGAUCGAGCAUGUCCGCAGCCCCGGCCGCCCGCGCAGCGCCGCCGGGUUAUGCGCCGUGCAGGUUCCCGGGUUCGCCCGCGCCUCUGCCCGUGGAAAAGAGAGGAGACCUCUUUCCCUUCCCGUGCGGCAGGGCUCUCUCUCACACACACACGCUCCCGUCUGCCCCACUCCACACACACCCACGACAGCAGCGCUUUCCGAAAUCCACCAAAAAAUAACACACACACACAGACACACACAGACACACACAGACACACACAGACACACACAGACGUCAGAACGGGGCAUCUGCCGUUCGGACGUAGGUCUGGGAAACCCACCCGGCUGGCAGCUCUCCUCAUCCGGGAGAAGAGUCCUCUGAAAGAGUGCAGAAUUCCCACAUUUCCCCAGUCGGACCCCUUUUGUUGGGUUUUUUUUGGACCAGACUGCACCGAUCAGGACAACGGGAUGAGGCAGAAACUCAAAAACGUCCCGUAAUACCGAUCCUCAUCGAAAAACCAACCACUUCAGACUCCCUUUAGCCCAGUGUGGCCCUAAACAUGUCUGCCCCGCUGGAGAAAGUUUCGGGAUUCAACAUUCUUUACAAACGCACAAGGGGUCAGGGGUCAAACAGCCACCAGCGUUCACAAGGAUAAAAGACGGACGAUUCCAUUAGGUAAAAUCCCCUUUUCUCAUCACGGCCCAGGUUUGAUCUCCUGGACUCACCCAGGGGUACAAGCACACUAUCGGGGUGCAGCUGCAGCACAUCAGCCCAGAGAGACGGCCAGGCUGGGCUCUGGUUGGACUCUCCCUGCUUUGCGUCCACCUCGCAGACUCACUCGAGGGGUGGGCUAAUCCACCCGUCUUCCAGCGGGGCAGCUGGAGCCUAUCCCAGCAAGCAAGGGGCUCAGGGCAGGGUACGGCCUGGGUGGGACGCCAGUCCAUCACAGGCCCACAACUUGGGCUCAUCGUUUAAGUCAAACAACAACGCUACAUUCAUCCCCAGGUUAGGAAACAUUCGCUUACCAACUUGAAGGUAAUCAUUAGAGGGCUAGCCAGAGGGAAUACUGAGCACUGAUGAACAAAGAGAUCUAAAACUCCCACAGAAGGAGCUAUAGUGAAUGCACCCACGGAGAAUGGGAGUGAACACCAGGGGGCGCUAACAUCCCCAGCACCAAGAGGAGGUAUGCAAGUCACUUCGGAUAAAUAAAAGCGAAGUUACACUGAGCCGAAGCAGUAAUCUGCUCUUUUAUAAAAGUAUACUCACUGAAUCACCUUAUUUCAGAAAGAGAAGUGUAGAAAUAUACACACCUUCAACUGCUGCUCAGUGACUGAAUGGAGCCCACUUCAUGGAGCAGUUUAAUUGUUUCCUGUGGUGGGGCGUUUUGGCCUGGUUUAUAAAAGGUGAAGAACUGACUUGCCGCGCUGUCCCAGAGUGGAUCAUGGGAGUGCACUGGCCACUACAUACCGCAUGCAAGCAUGGCAGCGCUGGAGCAGUCGCAUCACGCCACAGGAGUGCACACAAAGUCCUUGGCGCUGGCGACACAAGCAGGAGAGCCCAACACGCAGUGGUCCGUCCCCGAGUCAAAGAGACCACAGACGCACACGGGACGAUCCUCCAUCAUUUACCUUCGUGUUUCUGGGCCAGAAGCCUGGGAAUCAAACGCCGCCUCUCCUAAGACACCCGCUGCAUUAAAACCUCUGGCGAAAUGCAGAGGGCCCUGCCAGCCAAUGGGAUUUCACAGGGCUUGUGCCCCCGGACAAGUGAACGGGACCAUGUGCCAGAAAGGAACAGGACAGUAGCAUCCCGGGCACCCGUGAUCAACACACACGCACAGGCAAACGCUAGACAGGCGCCCGGAGACGCAGCGUGCAGA